rnacentral:rRNA from 1 species
UACGGGGGGAGCAAGCGUUGUUCGGAUUUACUGGGCGUAAAGGGCGCGUAGGCGGUCGUGACAAGUCACUGGGGAAAUCUCCGGGCUUAACUCGGAACGGUCAAGUGAUACUGUCGGACUAGAGUACAGAAGGGGCAACUGGAAUUCUCGGUGUAGCGGUGAAAUGCGUAGAUAUCGAGAGGAACACCUGCGGCGAAGGCGGGUUGCUGGGCUGAUACUGACGCUGAGACGCGAAAGCGUGGGGAGCAAACAGG